rnacentral:rRNA from 1 species
CCUACGGGGAGCAGCAGUGGGGAAUAUUGGACAAUGGGCGAAAGCCUGAUCCAGCCAUGCCGCGUGUGUGAAGAAGGCCUUCGGGUUGUAAAGCACUUUCAGUGGGGAAGAAAGCCUUGGGGCUAAUACCCUCGAGGAAGGACAUCACCCACAGAAGAAGCACCGGCUAACUCCGUGCCAGCAGCCACGGUAAUACGGAGGGUGCGAGCGUUAAUCGGAAUUACUGGGCGUAAAGCGCGCGUAGGCGGUCUGAUAAGCCGGUUGUGAAAGCCCCGGGCUCAACCUGGGAACGGCAUCCGGAACUGUCAGGCUAGAGUGCAGGAGAGGAAGGUAGAAUUCCCGGUGUAGCGGUGAAAUGCGUAGAGAUCGGGAGGAAUACCAGUGGCGAAGGCGGCCUUCUGGACUGACACUGACGCUGAGGUGCGAAAGCGUGGGUAGCAAACAGGAUUAGAUACCCCGGUAGUC